rnacentral:rRNA from 1 species
GACGAACGCUGGCGGCGUGCUUAACACAUGCAAGUCGAACGGUGAAGCGCCUUCCUUUUUGGUGGGUGUGGAUGAGUGGCGAACGGGUGAGUAACACGUGAGUAACCUGCCCCCCUCUUCUGGAUAACCGCAUGAAAGUGUGGCUAAUACGGGAUAUUCUGGGUCUGUCGCAUGAUGGGUCUGGGAAAGAUAUUGUUUCGGUGGGGGAUGGGCUCGCGGCCUAUCAGCUUGUUGGUGGGGUGAUGGCCUACCAAGGCUGUGACGGGUAGCCGGCCUGGGAGGGUGGACGGUCACACUGGGACGGAGACACGGCCCAGACUCCUACGGGAGGCAGCAGUGGGGAAUAUUGCACAGUGGGCGCAAGCCUGAUGCAGCGACGACGCGGGAGGGAUGGAGGCCUUCGGGUUGUGAACCUCUUUCGCCAGUGAAGCAGGCCUGCCUCGUUUGUGGGUGGGUUGACGGUAGCUGGAUAAGAAGCGCCGGCUAACUACGUG